UGAUCCUGGCUCAGAUUGAACGCUGGCGGCAGGCCUAACACAUGCAAGUCGAACGGUAACAGGAAGAAGCUUGCUUCUUUGCUGACGAGUGGCGGACGGGUGAGUAAUGUCUGGGAAACUGCCUGAUGGAGGGGGAUAACUACUGGAAACGGUAGCUAAUACCGCAUAACGUCGCAAGACCAAAGAGGGGGACCUUCGGGCCUCUUGCCAUCGGAUGUGCCCAGAUGGGAUUAGCUAGUAGGUGGGGUAACGGCUCACCUAGGCGACGAUCCCUAGCUGGUCUGAGAGGAUGACCAGCCACACUGGAACUGAGACACGGUCCAGACUCCUACGGGAGGCAGCAGUGGGGAAUAUUGCACAAUGGGCGCAAGCCUGAUGCAGCCAUGCCGCGUGUAUGAAGAAGGCCUUCGGGUUGUAAAGUACUUUCAGCGGGGAGGAAGGGAGUAAAGUUAAUACCUUUGCUCAUUGACGUUACCCGCAGAAGAAGCACCGGCUAACUCCGUGCCAGCAGCCGCGGUAAUACGGAGGGUGCAAGCGUUAAUCGGAAUUACUGGGCGUAAAGCGCACGCAGGCGGUUUGUUAAGUCAGAUGUGAAAUCCCCGGGCUCAACCUGGGAACUGCAUCUGAUACUGGCAAGCUUGAGUCUCGUAGAGGGGGGUAGAAUUCCAGGUGUAGCGGUGAAAUGCGUAGAGAUCUGGAGGAAUACCGGUGGCGAAGGCGGCCCCCUGGACGAAGACUGACGCUCAGGUGCGAAAGCGUGGGGAGCAAACAGGAUUAGAUACC
rnacentral:rRNA from 1 species